ensembl:lncRNA
UGGGGUCAGGGGAUGGGACAAAAUCUAGAGCUGCCCAGAAGCCUUUCCUGGUGGCCUGCCCAGCUGUGUCAGCACUGCUGCAGGGUCCAGAGCUGUGAGGACAGAGGCAAGACGCGGGCCGGCGGUGUUCGGUGCGGAUGCUCAGCUGCCCGCCGCCUUCCCGGGGCCGCGCAUGGCGCACCCGGCACGUCCACGUCACUUUUGCACUAAGAUGGGGUCGGAUGGUCCGCCCCGGUUUUGUGCGAUCCCUGUGCAGCGGGAAGCCUUCUGAAGCUUGCACAACACAUCUCCUUCAGGAGGACAUGGACCUCACCUAUGGCAGCUGGGACCAGGGUGAGGCCAGAAGUUUGAAAUCAAGGUGUGAGCGGGGCUGCGCUCCCUGUGAUGGCUCUUGGGCAGUAUCCUUCCACCGUGGACUGGUUGUUUGUGUCCCCCCCAAAUUCAUAUGUUGAAACCUGAUCCUCAAGGUGACGGUAUUCAGAGGUGGGGCCUUUGGGAGGUGAUUAAGUCACGAGGGUGGAGCCCUCAUGAUGUGAUUAGUGCCCUUGUAAAAGAGACCCCCCCCAAGACCCCCCUCAUCCUUCCGCCGUGGAAAGACACAGCAAGAAGAUGCCUUCUAUGACUCAGGGAGCAGGUCCUCACCAGACAUGGAAUCUGCCGGCAUCUUCGUCUUGGACUUCCAGCCUCCAGGACUGUGAGAAAUAAAUGUGUGUUGCUUACAAGC